UCCCUGGUGGCUCAGAUGGUAAAAGCAUCUGCCUGCAAUGCGGGAGACCCAGGUUCAAUUCCUGGGUUGGGAA
rnacentral:tRNA from 1 species